rnacentral:rRNA from 1 species
UACGAAGGUCCCAAGCGUUAUCCGGAUUUAUUGGGUUUAAAGGGUGCGUAGGCGGUUUAUUAAGUCAGUGGUGAAAGCCUUCAGCUUAACUGAAGAACUGCCAUUGAUACUGAUGAUCUUGAGUAUGAUUGAGGUGGGCGGAAUGUGCCAUGUAGCGGUGAAAUGCUUAGAUAUGACACAGAACACCGAUUGCGAAGGCAGCUCACUAAGUCAUAACUGACGCUGAUGCACGAAAGCGUGGGGAGCAAACAGG